rnacentral:lncRNA from 1 species
CUCUUCUCUUUCCCAAGUUGACUCUUCGACAUUAUGGUUUCUCCAUUGAACUCUCACUAACGGAAUUUCCUUUGUCCUCAGUUGUUGGAUUCUGCGAUCCAAUAUUGCUACUGGUUUUUCCUCAUAAGUCAUGUUUCGUUUGAUAUCCAAUGGUUGAUAACUAACCACAUGACUUUGAUCUGACACAUAUUGUCGAAGCAUUGACACGUGGAACACAUCAUGAAUUGCUGACAAAUCUGGUGGUAGAGAUAUUCGAUAGGCUGCAUUUCCAACUUUCUACAAAAUUUCAAAAGGACCUACGAAUCUUGGUCGAAGUUUUCCCUUCUUUCCAAAGCGAAGAACUCCCUUCAUCGGUGCCACUUUUAAGAAAACUUUAUCACCAACAUUAAAUGCCAAAUCUUUUCUUUUUUUAUCGGCAUAACUUUUUGUCGGUCCUAGGCUGCCUUGAUUCUAGCUCUUAUUUUAUCAGCCGCUCGACUAGUUUCCUCAAUUAUUUCGGGUCCUAAAACUCUUCGUUCACCUACUUCAUCCCAAUAAAGGGGAGCUCUACAUCUUCUGCCAUAAAGAGCUUCGUAAGGUGCCAUCUUUAUCGUAGCUUGAUAGCUAUUAUUAUAGGCAAAUUCUACCAGUGGUACAUAACUUUCCCAACUGCCCCCUAAAUCAAGGACGCAUGCACGCAGCAUAUCCUCCAAAGUCUGUAUAGUCCUCUCCGAUUGCCCAUUAGUUUGCGGAUGAAAAGUUGUGCUGAAGUUUAACUUGGUUCCCAUAGCUUCUUGCAAACUUUUCCAAAUUUUUGAGGUAUAUCUUGGAUCUCUAUCCGAUACAAUUGAGGCUGGGAUACCAUGCAAACGGAUGACCUCUUUGAUGUAUAAUUGCAUGUAUUGAUCCAUAAUAAAAUUUACUCUUACAGGUAGAAAAUGAGCUGACUUUGUUAACCGAUCCACUAUAACCCACAUAGCAUCAUUUCCCUUAGCUGAUUUUGGAAAACCCAUAACAAAAUCCGUAGUUAUAUGCUCCCAUUUCCAUUGUGGAAUUGUUAAUGGUUCCAACAACCCAGAUGGCCUUUGAUGUUCAGCAAUCACUUGUUGACAAGUCAUGCAUCUCCUGACAAAAAGACCUAUGCACUGUUUCAUAUUUCUCCACCAAAACAUACUCCUUAGAUCACGAUACAUUUUUGUACCUCCUGGAUGGGCAGUAUAUGGAGUUAAGUAUGCUUCUUCAAGAAUUUUUUUUCUCAAUCCCUCAUCUUUCGGCACACACAACCUUCCCUUAAAGAGUAAGGCUUUAUCACUGCCUAAUCCAAAAUCCUUUCGCUUGCUAGUACCAACUUCAGAUUUGAUCUUUUGCAGGAAAGAGUCACCAUCUUGUGCUACUCUUAUUCGAUCUCUAAGCAUUGGUCGAAUCGUUAGAGCCGCUAUCCUAGUGAUAGUUUGGGUUGGUGGAACAAUUACUUCUAGAUGUAAGUUUUCGAAAUCUUUUAACAACUGGUCCUGCAUAGUGAUUAGUACUGCUAAUUGUCCAACCGCCUUUCUGCUAAGAGUAUCUGCUACUACAUUAGCUUUACUAGGAUAGUAAAGGAUAGUGCAAUCAUAAUCCUUUACUAGCUCUAGCCAUCUCCUCUACCUCAUAUGUAAUUCCUUUUGGGUGAAAAAGUACUUCAAACUCUUAAGAUCAGUAUAAAUGUCACACUUAUUUCCAUAUAAGUAAUGACGUCAUAUCUUGAGGGCAUGAACUACCGCAGCCAAUUCUAGAUCAUGGGUUGGGUAGUUUUGUUCAUAUUGUUUCAAUUGUCUAGAAGCGUAGGCUAUCACCUUUCCUUUCUGCAUCAGAACACAUCCUAUACCCUGUUUCGAAGUAUCACUGUAUAUAACAAAUCCUUCUGGUCCGUCAGGUAUUGUUAACACUGGAGUUGUGACUGAUCUUUGUUUCAGCUCUUGGAAGCUCUGUUCACAUUUCUCUGUCCAUUGAAAUUUUAUCCCUUUUCGAGUCAACUGGGUCAAUGGUCCUGCUAUUUUAGAAAAUCCCUCGAUAAAUCUUCUAUAGUAACUAGCCAAUCCCAAGAAGCUACGUAUUUCUCUAACAUUGGUUGGUCUUACCCAAUUAUUUACUGCUUCCACUUUAGUUGGGUCUACUUCAAUUCCUCGUGUUGUGAUUAAGUGCCCCAGAAAACCUAUUUUAUCCAACCAGAAUUCACAUUUCUUGAAUUUGGC